UGGGGAAUUUUGGACAAUGGGCGCAAGCCUGAUCCAGCCAUGCCGCGUGCGGGAAGAAGGCCUUCGGGUUGUAAACCGCUUUUGUCAGGGAAGAAAUCUUCUGAGUUAAUACCUCGGGAGGAUGACGGUACCUGAAGAAUAAGCACCGGCUAACUACGUGCCAGCAGCCGCGGUAAUACGUAGGGUGCAAGCGUUAAUCGGAAUUACUGGGCGUAAAGCGUGCGCAGGCGGUUUUGUAAGACAGAGGUGAAAUCCCCGGGCUCAACCUGGGAACUGCCUUUGUGACUGCAAGGCUUGAGUGCGGCAGAGGGGGAAUGGAAUUCCGCGUGUAGCAGUGAAAUGCGUAGAUAUGCGGAGGAACACCGAUGGCGAAGGCAAUCCCCUGGGCCUGCACUGACGCUCAUGCACGAAAGCGUGGGGAGCAAANCAGGAUUAGAUACCCUGGUAGUCCACGCCCUAAAACGAUGUCAACUGG
rnacentral:rRNA from 1 species